GGCGCUGCGCCGCUCUCGGCCCGAGCUGUUUGUAAAUUACAUUAGCGGCGCCUUUAUUGCACCCGAACCUCGGGCGACUGAAAAGCCACCGCCCCCACCCCAAACUGAGAGCCGAGCUCCGGGCGCACCCGCCUCCCGCAGGCCUGGUUGCGGUGGCAGCGCCAGCCCGGAGGUCUCAGGCUCUCCAACCCGGGAUUUGGAGUCCGAGAAGGGUGGCGGGAGCCCCAACAAGGGAGGGACGCGGCCGCGGCGCGGGUCAGGUAAGAACAGGAGUCCGGGUGGGCCCGGUUCCGCCCACUGUGGACUUUGCCAAGCCGAAAUCAAGAACCUAGAGCCCCAUUCCCGAUCCUUGUCCCUCACCCCCAGCUCUGGGCCAUGUGCUUGGAGAAAGGGAACCUGAAGCCCUCCUGGACUGGCGCGCAGGAGGUCAGAGCCAGCUUCACAGCCCUGGGUGGGCAACGCGGGACAGGGGUGGGGAUUCCAGCGGUUGGGGAGGGGGCCAGUCAGAGGGCUCAGCCUUCCCCAUGCCAGGAGGCGGAGGGAGGAGUUGUUGGUGUCUGUGAGCGCCUCUACCCCGGCCUGAGACCGAAGCGGCCACCCUACCUCCUCCGGCAAUCUUGCACACUCUUAGCCUGGUCUGCGACUGGCUCUCCGGCCGGCUAGGGUACGACUCUUUUGAUGAUAGGCGUCUAAUGGGCAAACGGGCCGAGUGCCGGAGCUACUGGGAAGGGCUUGGGGCUUCUCCGCUGCUCUGCCCGGGCCCGGGCCGGGGCCCCGUUGCGGGCCCCGCCCAGCCCAGCGCCGCGCUUGUGUGUACUGCCCGGCCGACUCCAGCUGUUCCGGAUGCUGGGCGGGGGCCGUAGGGGCCGGGCCAGGGCUGGGGCUGCGCUCUCAGAAACUCGCAGGGAGGCUAGGGUUCCAGUUAGGCUGACCGCUGAGGAGCCCUAUGGCCUGGAAUCUGUGCAUAUUAGAUGGGCAUUUUGUGUGCAUCGUUACUUGAAGGUGUUUAUGUUUUUGAAUAUGCGUAUUUGUGUGUGGUUCUCCAUGUGUAUAUUUGUGUAAACCUAUGUGAACCUUUGGGCAUGUUAGUGGGUUUGAACCUCAGCUAUGUGUUUCAUUUCCCUGAGGCACAACAACGGGGCUGUGCCCUCAGGCCCUCUUCUCUCUUGCUACCCCAUCUGGUUUGUGUCUGCCCCUAAUUUUCCAUUUCUGCCCUUGGAGAAAGGGGAGGAAGAGGGAGUUGGAGUCAAGGGAAGUUCUCCCUGCUCACACACAGAGGCACAGACUCUACCGGCUUUGUUUGUAGUGCGGGUAGUGUGGUUAGUGUGGUUGGACAGCUUAAGCUUGAACCAGAGGAGGGACCAGAGAGGCCAGUUUGAGGGCUCAAGGCCUAGGGCAGAGGUGGUUGGAAUAAGAAGAAUGGAACUUCUUUCCCCUCAUACCUGCCCUGGAGAGGGAGUGGACUGAGCUGGGCUAUGGAACAGAGAGCAGAUUCUCUCUCUGCCUCCAGUGGAGAAGCCGCUGAACACCAGAGAUUGGUUUAUCUCACAGUUAGUUGUGUUUGGAGUCAUGACUUGCAGCUCUCUGGAGUAAUAGGGAUGGAUUAGGGAGACUGAAUUCUCCUGUGGGGCCCUAGUGCUGACCUGGAGCAUGCUUGAGAAUCUUGGAAGGAGCUUCCUUUCCCACCUUUGCACUGACUGGAUUUUGGAGGAAGGACAGGUGCUCAGAGGAAGAAAUGGUGCAAAGAGGGAUUUCAGUUCUCACAGAGCUGCAGAUCCAUUCCUGGGGCAUGCCUGUUCUGAGGCAUCCCUGCUACCCUGAAAGCCACAAGGAGAUUCUGGGCCUAGAAAUAGUAGAGUCAGAGUCUAGGAACUGGCGAAGAACAGAAGAGAGAAGGGGAAGAUUUGGAAGGGGGAGGGCAAGAUAGGUCUGCCCUCUCCUUUCACUUACUGCAUUUAGAAUCCCAUCUCAUCCCUUUCCUACCAUAACCCCAACUUCCUGACCAGAACCUCAGUCAAACUCCAUAUCAGAGACAGCUCUCCAGAUCUGGGACUGGGAACUUUGAGUUCUAUCCUAAGGUGAGGGUAUCCUCCCAUACCUGCCCUCUUUCCUUUCCUGUUACUUUAUUCUCUGCACCUGAUACUGGCCAGAAGGACUGUGCCUUAGGGAAAAGCCCAGCAGCUGCUAUUGCCCAUCUCCCAGUCCCCAAAGACCAGUGGAGUUCAGGAUUACUGAGAGACCUCUAGGAAGGGGUGGAAUAUGAACUGAGGAGCAUGAGAGUCUUGUUCCCUGGGAUCUUUAGUUUUUAGCCACACUAUGUCAAAGUGGGGACUACAUUACACCAUCCUCUGAUGUAUCACCUCCACCCACCUUCACCAAAUGUCUCCUUCCCUGGGCGGCCCAGCCCUGCUACCUUUGGUUCAUCCACCUAAUCAGUUGGCCUCUUGGCUAAACAUGUUCAGGAGCUCUGCAUAUUUAGGGGUUCCACCUAGUUCUUUGUUGUUUCAAUUUAUUUUCCCAGGUCUCCUUAUCCAGUCCACCUUGGAAAAUCAACCUAACGGUCUCAGCAACUUUUUCCCCACCCUGUGGUUCUACCCUAUCUCUACCCCUAAAGCCCUAGUGUGUGCCCAGCUAAGACUUUCUGGACUCCUAAGAGUCCAAAUUCUCUGGCCUCCUUCUUGCAGAGCAGUAAGGUGUAUUUUUGGUUUGUGAUUGGACUCCCUCUUCUCUGCCACCAGACUGAGAUCCUUGAGUUUGAUGAUUCCAUCCAUCCCAGACUGAAGGACAACUGUUAUUGGUUGAAUAAGUUUCCAUCAAGCAAACAGGGUACAAAUGGCUGGGGAAUGACUUGGGCCAAGACUGUGAGACUCUAAAAGAGAACUACUAGUAGGGGAAUGGAGGUUGGUUAGAAGGAACCCAACCAUCACUUUCUAGACUCUAGUCUUUCUGCCCAACUUUCUGCUGAGGAAAAGAAGACACUUAGAGGUUCCCCCACCCCUAGCCAACUGGGACAAUGUCUUUUUACCUGGAGCUGUAAGAAACUGAUCCCCAGAGUCUGCUCCACAGAGGAAGUGCUCAUUUUCAGAGCCAGUUAUACACCAUAUCCUGACCUUUUUUUUUUUUAGAUGGGAUAGAGGCUUUCUUUUUUUUUUUUUUUUUCUUUUUUUGUACUGGGGAUUUAGCCCAGAGGCAUUUUACCACUGAGCUACAUCCCAGCUUUUUUUAUUUCUUAUUUUUAGACAGGGUCUUCCUAAGUUGCUUAGAGCUUCACUUACUUGCUGAGGCUAGCCUCAACCCCCCAAGUCACUGGGAUUACAGGCAUGAGCCACCAUGCCCAGCAGCAUAUUCUGACUCUUGAAGUCUCCUUUACUUCCUAUAAGGCCAGGGUCUAGCCUUAUUUCAUCUCUAGUGGAAGGGGAAAGGAACAUUCUACCCAAAAUCUGUCUGCCCCCUUCCCAGUUUAAGGAAGAUUCUGGACAAAAAGAAAAGAAAGAGCAUUCAUUCACAAAUGGCCACGAUAAGGGGACCCAAACAAAUGAAUAAUUCCUUAGCACAGGAGAGAAAUUCACUUAAAUCCCUGGGGCUCCAUCUGAUCAGUCUAUAUUGUUUGGGUGGCCCCAUUCAUUUCCAGGUUCUUUGUGUAAGUACCACCCUUAAGCCAGAAUUCCUUCUGAAGGAAAGAGUCUGACUCCACUUAAAACAAGUCAACUUGAGCAUUGCUCUGGGUCACAUUUUCUCAUGUAGACCUGCUACUCUUGACACCCCAUAUGGAAUUCAGAAAGUGCUUUCUGUGCUAUAGAAUUAGCACAGAUUAGGUGGCCUCCUGUUAUCCUGACUGAGCCAGGACUGCUCAGUAGUCCUUACAUUCGGCCCAGGGUACUAUCUGUAGCAACAACCGUAAUAACUAUGGCAAUAAAUACCAUAAGCCCUUACCUUGCCUGAAUCCAGGCUGUUUUAUUUAUUUCAUUUACUACUACCUUUGAAGUAGCUACUGCUAUUACCCCUAUUUUACACAUAAGCAGGAGCCUAGAGAAGUUCUCUGAGGCCCAGAGAAGUUCAGUAACCCAUCCAAUGUCACACAGCUUAUUUUGAAGUGAUAAGGAUUGGAAAACUUUUUUUUUUUUAGACUCAAGUCUGUGCCCGUAAUCCCUGAACUAUGAGGUUCUUAAUCAGAGAUCCCUAAGAGCUUUUUGAAUGGGCUUCAGGAGUUCUGCAGACCCCAGAAAUUGUGUAUAAAAUUCACAUGUGAGCCCUGAUGGGCAUAUUUUUCUGGGGCUAAUAUUACAUAACACACUAGAGUCUCAAAAGUGUUGGAAAUCCAGAAAAGGUAAAGGCCAGAAUCAGGCCAGUGGGGAAUGGGAAGUUGUCUCCUCCCAGGCCUGGGGAGGGGAGCCAGCUGCUCCAAAAUUCAGUCUGGGUUCCAAGCUGGCUUCUGAAAUUGCCAGGCUUUCUCUAGCUAAGCUUAGCUUUCAGGACCUCUGGUGAGGUGAGGCAGGGGCAGGAUCUGAGGGCUGGCCAUUCCUUUGAAGAGCACCCCCUUCCCUGCUCCUUUCCUCCCUGCUUCUUUUGUGAACUGAGUUCCUUCAGAACCUAAUGUCUAGGUGGCUACCCACAUGAGAAGCUUCUUCUGGGAACUUCAGCCCUAUAUGAUGGGAGGAGCUGACUGUUCUUUGGAAGUAUGAAGGGUAUAAACUGAUAACGGAGUGACAGAAAUAGGCAGGUAUGGGAAGACUUACCAGGAGGUUACUCAAGUCCUGGGUGCCCAUGCUAUGCGACCACCAGAAUAGUCUUCUAUUUUAGUCCCAAACCUUUGCUCCCUUUAUCCCAAAGCCAGAAAUGUCUCUUCCUGGUACCUCUUGCCCUGUGCUUAAUGCCCAAUUCAUUUCCUUGGAGAAACCUUCCCUGCCCUGUCCAGCUCCUCAGCACACCCCCUCGGGGCCACUAUCACGUUGCUAGGAACAUGUUGGAUUUGUCCAUCUUCCCUUCUUCCUCUCUCUCUCUCCAUCUGGCUGUGAACUUACUUAGGGAGGAUGAAAAUUGACUUUCCUCUCUAUGCCCCUAUGCCAGGCUGGCAUAUACCAAUGUCUCUCCCAAGCACUUGCUGAAUGUAUAAACUAAAUUAAUAAAAUAAGAGACAAAGAGAGAACCAGGCAGGGCUCUCAGCCUAUUCGCCGGAAUGAGGACUAGGGAUACAAGAGAAGGGUAGGUGCAUCAUUUAUUUUGCCAGCUGUGAGCAGAUGUGUGAGGCACCCUGCUGCUUAUACCUCCAAUGCACAGAGGGGCAGAGACCUCAUUCUUUAAUGAUUAUUGGCUGGAAGUGGAGUGCUAGGUUCUGGAUCCAGCUGUGGUUGUGUGACCUGACUUAGGAAUAAAUUUUGUUCACACUGAUUUUUCUUUUGUUGUGUUUGUUUUGAAAACAAGAAGUAGAAAGGAAGAACAGACUGAAGAUGGGGAGUGGUAGGAGUAGCAAGAAACAGACCCCACCCCCAAUAGCCCAGGGUAAAGGAAGCUAAGUGUGUGGAGAGGGGGGCUAGUUCUGUUUCCACUGGAGGUAACAUUUGAGUGGAACUUGGAAAAACCAGAAGCAUUUGAAUAGGUGGGGAAGCAGGAACCAUUUUGGAGGCAAGGGGGAAUAGUCAAGCAAGAACCCAGAGGUGUCAGCCCAGAAGGGAGCUGGAAUGUCACCAUACUUUUCUCUCUGUUGCCUGCUGGGGUCCAGAUGAAAUCCAUAGUCCCUUGUACACCCUAGUGGGUUUGCAGGCUUGGGGCAGUGAUUGGUGGGCUCUUGGGAUAGCUGUUUAGGGCUUGGAGGAGUGCUUGAGAGAGUCUGUGUCAGGCCCUUGUGGAUGGUUCCUUUCUGGCUGCUUCAGAGCUGACAGUUCUCUCUACUAACCCAGUGGGCCCAAGAACUCCAAGAACAGAGCAAAAUCACUAAUGAGAGUCAGCAUCCUCCAUUCCAUAGAGGUCUCAUAGCCUUUGGGAAGGCGCCAAGCACAGGCCAGCAGUGGGGUUUGGUGGAAAGACACAGGGACCAAGGGAGAGAGUCCAGGAAAUGGAAGAGAGAGCCCGCCCAGGCAGGCGGGGGGCGGGGGGGGGGGGGGGGGGGGGGGGGCAAGAAAGGCCUGAGUCAGGCUUCUCAUAAUAAACAGCAUGUGAAUAAUUCAGGAGCGGCCCAUGGGCUCAUUGCUUUAGAACUGAGGCAGUUCGUGCAGCUCCACAAGUCCCCGCAGAGCCCAGGGGGCCACUAAUGCACUAGAGGAAGCGGGCAGUGUAGAAGAUUCCCUACUGCUUGGUAUCCUAGGUUAUGCCCAGGCUGAGUUCCAAGAGCCCUGGCAUCCCUGAUCCAAACGUCCGAGGCAACACAGGACAUUGCUACCCCAGCCCAGUGGUUCCUGUGCCCCAAGUGAGAGAAUUCAGGCAGCAGGACCGAGGCCAGAAUAGGGCAAAGAGGAGAUAUGAGUGGCUGACCUGCGGAAAGUCUGGCAGCCAAACUACCCAACCACACCAGGAAAAUGGGCUGUGAGCCUUGAAGCAAAGUGGCAAGACAGUUUGGUCCUGUGCUUGGAUCCAAUAUCCUUGGGGAAUUCGUCCUGUGCGGGAUUUUCCUUGCUAUGGAAGUGAGGCACCAAAUAAACCUCAGGGCCCUCCACCGGCUCUGGACCUCCAGGUCGCCUGUCCUUUGUUCCUACCUCUCCCAGGCCGCGGGUCCAAGUUUGGAUGCGCCUCGAGCAUCUGUUUUGUCCCGGGCCUCAGCACUCGCCUCGGUGCGGGAAGGGAGUCCUAGGCUGCUGGGCAUGUAAGAGAGAAGAGUGAAGCGCUUAGUAGCUGAAGCCUUAUUUCGUUUGAGCAAUACCAGCUAGUUCCCUUUGGUGUUUCCCAUGUGUCAGUGGGUUCCUAAUCUUGAGGGAUCACACUCAUUCCAUCUCAUUUCCAACAAUGCCUCCAAUUUCUCUAGUUCCUGUGCACGCCCUUCAUUUCUACUAGGUCAACCUAACCCUGUAUUCGGCCCCUGACUCCUUUACCCACACAACCUCCCUUACCUCGGUGAGUCUCGGACCCAUACGCUCGCACAGGCUCCGCCGGCUCUCCAGUCCAGGGCAGGCGCAAGGAGGCCCCUAGCCGGUCUUCAGGUAUGUUGCGCUGCCGGACCCGAAGACACCAGGGAAGCAGCUCCCCUCUGCCCUCUGCCCCAAUUUUCCUCCUUUUGCUUAUGGCUCAUCUUCUUCAUCUUCCCUCCGCCUCUACACAUUUCUUAUUCGUUUUUCUUCGUUUGGAGAGGUAUGGCGGCCGUAGCCCCGGCACCUGGGGAAGUCUGGAUUUACUCUGGCGCUGUUGGCUCCAGUUUGACAGCCAAAUCUCCAUCCCGGGAUUCCUAGAGGCUCAGCAGGGCAGCUUAGGUGUCUACGGAGAUGCAGAUGAGGUGGAGUGAUGGCACUUUGACCCCACACUGCUCCUGCUGCUGGCCGGCAGUAAGAUUUUGGUAAGUUCUUUUAACCUCUUUGCCUUGAUGGUAGGAAAGGGCAGGAGACUUAGGGAAGGGUGACGGGAGCCUAAGCCUUUUACUUUUUUUUUUUUUUUUUUUGGUGGUGCUGAGGAUUGAACCCAGGGCCUUGCACAUUCGAGGCAAGCACUCUACCAACUAAGCUAUAUAAACAAAACAAAACAAAACAAAAAAACCUUACCUGCCUUGGGGCUUCAGAAGCAAGUGAGGUUCAAGGAAAUUCUAGGUCUGAAAUGACUAUUUAUUUAAAAGAACAUUUAGGGAGCAAUUGGUAGCUGCUACUUGUUUUUCUUUCUUCAUUUAUCUUUUUUUUCUUCUUCUUCUUCUUUUGUAAACAGCCGAUGAGGUGCCAGGCAUUCAACUCCUUCUCUCCAGUUCUCACCGUCUCUAUCUUGCAGAAGAAGAAACACGUGAAGGUCUCAUCGCUCUAAUCAGCCUCACAAGGGGCAUUCGAACCCAGAUCCAGUUAGAAGCCUCUACACUUUAAGCCUCUGCAGUCUUGCCUUGGACCCAGGGCCAACUAAGCCCAGAAGAGUUGGGUUGAAUUCUCAAGCGUUCGUCCCCUGCCCCUCCUGGCUCUGGGAAAGGUUUGAAAAUUUUAUUUUCGGGCUAACGAUUUUGGCGGCGCCUAAAGAAGGACAGAAGUGAGACCAAGGAGGAACCUAAGUUACAGGCGAGCCCCUAGCCAGGCGGCAGCGGCAGGGUCGAAUUCAAAUCCUUCCUGGACUUGUGCUCUUUGGAGUCUGUCCUAGUCUGGCUGUUCUGUGGGGCCUAUUUUCAGACAGUCCUGGACCAAGAGGGAGAAGAAGCCGAAGCAGAUGAUUCCCCCACUAUUCCUCUCUCUCCAGGGGCACCUCGCU
rnacentral:lncRNA from 1 species